rnacentral:RNase_P_RNA from 1 species
CCAGUCGGCCGGACGGCCGCUCUCGCUCGCGAGGGAGGAAAGUCCGGGCUCCACGGAAAUACGGUGCCGGAUAACGUCCGGCGGGGGCGACCCCAGGGAAAGCGCCACAGAGAUCGAACCGCCUUGCGCUGGAGAGCUUCGGCUUUUCCGGCGAGGUAAGGGUGAAAAGGUGCGGUAAGAGCGCACCGCGGACCCGGCAACGGGGACGGCAUGGCAAGCCCCACCGGGAGCAAAACCGAAUAGGGACGAUGCUGCCCGCGCAAGCGGGGAGGGGCAGGUUUCUGUGCCUUGUCGUCCGGGUUGGUUGCUCGAGGCGCGCAGCAAUGCGCGUCCCAGAGGAAUGGCCGUCACGUCGGGGGAGCGAUCCUCCGGCCAUCCAAAACCCGGCUUACAGGCCGACUGGCGCU